CUUUGCAUCUUCAAUGAUUCAUCCCGGGAGCCAUAUGAUCUGUCAGAUGAUGACACUAAUUUGCAGAAGAAGUUCACACGUCUAAGGGAUCAUGCAGCUGCACUGCGAAACUACUGUAUAAUCCUGACCUUUCUUUCUUUUGUCUUCACAAGGUUGAAAGCGCUCUUGGUUCUGCUGAAAAGCUUGUGAGAGCAUCACCUGAUGAGCUGUUCCACUACUAGGGUGAUCUUGUUCAAGCACUGGUACAUGUUCGUUGUUCUGAUGUCGUGAUAGAAGGUGAGGAAGAUUUUGCGGAAGAAAAGCGACAGAAGGCAUUAGUCGCCUUGCUGGUAACCAGCCCAUUUGAAUCAUUUUUGCUUUGCAUUUUCUUCAGGAUUUGGUACAUGUGUAUUUUCACAUAAUUUUUAACAAACCAAUUCAUAGAUUCGUUGUAUAUGAAUAACCGACCAAACAAAGACCGGUGAUAAUCAGCGUCAUCCCGGACCUAACGAACAUUUUAGUCUGAAUUUAUCUAACACUAUGGGAAUAGGGUAAAUGAUAACCAAAAGUUAGAAAUCUGACAUUAUGAUUGAUCAUACUAUCUGUAAUCCAUACUCUUCUGCUUUAUGGGAGUUAGUCUGUCGAUCAUCAUGACCAACUGAAAAUAAUUAAACCGGUAGAUCCCGACCUCAAAUGGCGCGAGUGCUCUAUGAAAGCAUGGGAUUUACCCCGCUAAUGUACUUGUAUUAGGACGUUCUCUACACGUUCGGAAUAGAUUAUCAAGAAAAUUUAUCUAAAGUCUGAUCAAAUUCAUUUAGAUUCAGUUUAAUUAUAGUGUCUGUUCAUUUUUUACAUUGAUUUUAUCAUAUUAUAAAAUUGUCAUACCAUAUAGUUCUUAAAACUGCAUAUGUUUUCCUGCUGCAAGUGCCACUGUUGUCACAAUGCUGCAAAGAGACGGUGCAUGGAUGCAUUUUUUAACUCUCAUGAGUGCUUGUAGAAGAAGAAUUGUACAAUGCGGAAAGAUGUUAUUUGCAUCUGCAAAGAGGGAUCAUAUUUGUAGAUUGAUUCCAUAAGAAUCAGGAGCAGGAGCUAAUGGACAGUCAGUGAGCCCCAAGGGCGGUGGCCCCUGCAACAUGAAGAAGACCAUCCAGACAAAGGGGAGGUACACGGAUAGCCAAGGAUGCAAGGAGACGUGCAGGUCUGCGUUUCAGAGUUAUCUCUUUCAGCACCAGCGAUUAAAUGGUCCGUAGCUGGUCAGGCGUGCUUGCAUAAAAUGUACUUUGUUAGUUGCUAGAGCCAUGCUAGCUUUGUAUGUUGUUCUUGCAGCCUCAACUAGCUAAUUCUAUUUAAAGCUAAUGUUGUUCUAUCCUUCCAAUUACUGUUGUUAUUCAGAUUUUUUUCUUUUUUUGUUGUCAUUCAGAGUACAAAUGUUAUGAGAAUUUCAGGAUUUUUGUCAUAUCUCCCAAUUACCUUAAUUUUGUAAGUUGUGUUCUAAUUCAAUUUUGAUUUCCUUUCACAAUAGCCUACUUUAAAGCUGUGUGAAUCCAUUAUUUUCCUUUUGAGUUUGCUGUAGAGCAGUGGAGGCGAGUUGGGAACCUUUUUUUUUAACUUGGUGGAUGUACUGUUGUAGCGAUGGAGAUUUGCCUGAAUGUUGCUUUCCUCCGCGUGAAGUGCCUAGAAUUCUCGAAGGCGUCAACAAGACCCGAAGGAGAUUGACAAAGUAUUGACAAGGUUUGGUUGCAUCAACGAAUUGAUUUAAGACAAGAUAACAAUGGGAACCAUUGUCCUAAAGUCAGCUGGAUCAUCAAAGUUCUCUGUGCAGCAAAGCCUGAUAGGCGUGUUGGAUGUUGCUGCAUGUCUCAGCCAACAGAGUGAUGAUACUGCUGUUGGAUCUCCAGCAACAUGCUACCAUAGCUCUUCGGGAAGCAAAAAGCUGAGAAUUGGCAGAUGACCGAUCUCAUGUUGUGAUGUGCUUUAGGUGUGUUGCUCACCGUUCUGGCUGUUUUGUUGUUUCAAACAUCUCAAUUUAGUUUGGUCAUUCGAGAACUAUAGCGUGGUCAAGUGUAUUGACUUUGUCGUUCAGCUCUCCGCUUGAGAUUAUUUUAGUUCUGAUUUACUUUCAUUUACUUUGUUUUGCAAGUAGCAUGUCCUUAGCGUGCCACCGUGUCAGUACAAUGCCAGUUUUUGUGUUUCAUAUAAUGCUUAAUUACAGUUGAUUGUA